rnacentral:rRNA from 1 species
AUGCUUCAUCUCCGGAAGCUCUUCCUCUCCGCAUCUCAUGUCCGCACACCCUCCCUCUCUCCCCUUUCCCCGCUCCACCGCCUCCUCGCCGCCACCGCACCCGCAUCCCCAGAGCCGUUCGCCGUCGAGGACUACCUCGUCACCACCUGCGGCCUCUCCCGGCCCAAGGCGCGCAAGGCGUCCAAGAAGCUCGCCCACCUCAAGUCCCCCUCCAAGAUCGACGCCGUCCUCGCCUUCCUCGCCGCGCUCGGCAUCUCCCCCUCAACCACCGCCGCCAUCGUCGCCGCCGACCCGCAGUUCCUCUGCGCCGAUGUGGAGCUGAACCUGUCCAAGCGCGUCGCCGAGCUCACGGAUCUCGGCAUCAAGCGCUCCCAGAUCGCGCGCCUCAUCCCGCUCGCCCGCACCACCUUCCGCAGCUCCUCCCUCGGCCCCAACCUCGCUUUCUGGCUCCCGGUCUUCGGCUCCUUCGAGAAGCUCCUCGGGGCCAUCAAGGUGAACGGCGGCAUCCUCGGAGCGGACCUCGAGAAGGUCGCCAAGCCCAACCUGGCCAUCCUCCAGCAAUGCGGGAUAAGUGUCCGAGAAUUUUCAGAUACAUACCUUACCCGGGUGCUCACUAGGCUCCCCGAGUACGUCGAGAAUGCCGUGCUGUACAUCGAUAAGCUUGGCGUGCCCCGGGAUUCCUCAUUGUUUCGCUACGCGCUCAUGGCGUUCGUGAUUCAGAGCCAGGAGAAAAUUGACAGGAAAAUGGGGAUGCUUGAAAUGCUUGGUUGGUCACAGGAUGAUGUGUUGACUGCUGUGAGGAAGAUGCCGUGUAUCCUCACUAUGUCCGAGGAAAGGAUGCAGACAGCUGUGAAUUUCUUGACAAGGGAUGUUGGGCUGGAGAUACCCUAUAUUGCUCAAAGGCCAGUGCUGGUCAUGUAUAGCUAUGAGCGCCGGUUGCUGCCACGGCAUUCCUUGCUAAAUAUUCUCAACUCGAAGGAUUUGCUUUAUCCUGAGCUUGACUUCUAUUCUGUUAUCGCGCUGACUGAGAAGAAGUUUCUGGACAAGUAUGUGCAUCCUUAUGAGAAGAGUAUUCCAGGCCUUGCUGCGACUUAUGCAUCUUACUGUGCUGAGAAGGUGCCGAAUGAAGUUUCUACCUGA